rnacentral:lncRNA from 1 species
GCCAGACCCUAUGGCUGAAGUAAACCCUAUCCAGGCCACAGGGGAUAGGCCUAGUUGAACACCUAAAGGGGCCACUGAGGACAGUUGGAGCGAAGACACAAGUCAGCAGCGCCUCUCUGCCGCCUCCCUCCCACUUCCCCUCUCCCUCCCCCUCAGAUGAGUGGCCAGAGGGCCCAGACUAUGAGGGGUAGGGGGAGAAAUGAAAAGAAAAGGGGCAAAAAUAAGAGAGCUGACGAUGGGCAUCCAAGCGUUGUAAGAGUUUUGGAAAUGAAGGAUCUGGAGGGAGAAUUGGUCAAUGGAUGCGUCAGCCUCCGAGCUGUACUCAGAGGACGGGGACAAAGACGGGAAAGGCCGAGAAAUGCACCGGCCAACGGCCAUCCGCUCUCCCAGAGUCCCCGAGGCCCCGCACUCCUGCUACUCCGCGUGAUUUUGUCGCCCCCUGCGGCCACCGGGCCCGUGCCUCUCUCCUCCCUGGAGCCCCUCGACUCAGCUUGAAGCCAGGCCAGCCUCGGCCCUCGUCGGAGCCAUGGAGGCCCUGGGUCCUGGAGGCGACCGCGCCUCCCCAGCCUCAUCCCCUCG